rnacentral:rRNA from 1 species
GCCUACGGCACGCCACCCUGAACGUGUCCGAUCUCGUCUGAUCUCGGAAGCUAACAGAGUUGGGCCUGGUUAGUACUUGGAUGGGAGACCACCUAGGAAGACCAGGUGCUGUAGGCG